GCCAGACAUAGAGGAGUGUACCUCACACUGGAGUCAUGGCCGUCAUCUCUAGCAUGCACUAGGUUUGUGCAAACUCAGUGUUUUGGACACUUGGCAUAAAAUAUUUUACUCGAUCCCGAAACAAACCAGAGAGAUUGUUCUAUCAUUGGCACUUAAGUUCUGCGCACUCUACGUUCUCUAACUGCAAAUGUGGAAAAAAAAAACAAAACACAUCUGUUUGCUGUGAUGGGAAACCAGACCACGCCAUCUGAUUAAAUUUACUUAGGAUUCUGUUGAAGCACCUCAGAGGUUUGGGCCCUGAUUCUCCUACUCUCGGGACCAUGAAGGGGACAGGAAUUCUUGCUUCCUGACAGAACUGGCCACACUGCCAGAGGAGCUGAGACUGAAGAGGGGGUGCCUGACAGAAGCUGGAGCCUCGGGGGAGCCAUGGUCAGAGAGGCCGCCCAAUCGCCUCCCAGUGACUUUCAUCGGAGAAAUUGGAGAAGAAAAUCUUUUCCUCUACCCUCUCAGGUUCAGUAACUGGGGGGCUGAGAAUUUAACUGACGAAAGGCAGAUUAACAAGAAAAAAAGGCAGCGUUAGUUUGAGUGUGCAAUCUGAUUAUAUGCCAGAAUGCUGUGAGGAGUAACUCAAAGAGGAGGUUAGAAUUUGGGAGUUUAUUUACCUAAGUUAGUAGGGGAAAGGAAGGCUGGAAAAAAAAGCUUCUAUUGGAAGAAUAGAUAGGUUUCUUUUUUUUUUUUUUAAUGUUUAUUUUUGAGAGAGAGAGAGGCAGAGUAUAAGCAGGGGAGGGGCAGAGAGAGAGGGAGACACAGAAUCUGAAGCAGGCUCCAGGCUCUGAGCUGUCAACGCAGAGUCUGAUGUGGAGCUCAAACUCAUGAACUCGAGAUCAUGACCUGAGCCGAAGUCAGACACUUAACU